AUAGGGGGCAAGCGUUAUCCGGAUUUACUGGGUGUAAAGGGAGCGCAGACGGCAGUGCAAGUCUGGAGUGAAAGCCCGGGGCCCAACCCCGGGACUGCUCUGGAAACUGUACGGCUAGAGUACGGGAGGGGCAGGCGGAAUUCCUAGUGUAGCGGUGAAAUGCGUAGAUAUUAGGAGGAACACCGGCGGCGAAGGCGGCCUGCUGGACCGAAACUGACGUUGAGGCUCGAAAGCGUGGGGAGCAAA
rnacentral:rRNA from 1 species